UACGGAGGGUGCAAGCGUUGCUCGGAAUUAUUGGGCGUAAAGGGCAGGUAGGUGGUCUUAUUUGUCUUGUGUGAAAGCCUUGGGCUUAACCCAAGAAGUGCGCAAGAAACGGUAAGACUAGAGUCCCAGAGAGGCUUGUGGAAUUCCCGGUGUAGCGGUGAAAUGCGUAGAUAUCGAGAGGAACACCUGCGGCGAAGGCGGGUUGCUGGGCUGACACUGACGCUGAGGCGCGAAAGCUAGGGGAGCGAACGGG
rnacentral:rRNA from 1 species